rnacentral:rRNA from 1 species
AGAGUUUGAUCCUGGCUCAGGAUGAACGCUGGCGGCGUGCCUGAUACAUGCAAGUCGAACGGUCGUAGCAAUACGAUAGUGGCGUCCGGGUGCGUAACACGUAGCUGAUUUGCCCGUUAGCGGGGGAUAACGUCCCGAAAGGGACGCUAAUACCGCGUAAGCUCUGGGGGUUUAGAAACCUCAGAGGAAAGCCUUCGGGCGCUGACGGAGAAGGCUGCGGUCCAUCAGGUAGUUGGUGAGGUAACGGCUCACCAAGCCGACGACGGAUAGGGGACCUGAGAGGGUGACCCCCCACACUGGAACUGACACACGGUCCAGACUCCUACGGGAGGCAGCAGUAAGGGAUAUUGCACAAUGGGCGCAAGCCUGAUGCAGCAACGCCGCGUGCGGGAAGAAGGUCUUCGGAUCGUAAACCGCUUUUAUCGAGGAAGAGAACGGACGGUACUCGAUGAAUCAGUCUCGGCUAACUACGUGCCAGCAGCCGCGGUAAAACGUAGGAGGCAAGCGUUAUCCGGAUUUACUGGGCGUAAAGCGUGUGCAGGCGGUUUAUUAAGUCAUGUGUGAAAGCGCUCCGCUUAACGGGGCGAGGCCAUGUGAGACUGAUAGACUUGAAUCAGACAGAGGCAAGCGGAAUUCCGGGUGUAGUGGUGAAAUGCGUAGAGAUCCGGAGGAACACCAGAGGCGCAGGCGGCUUGCUGGGUCUGUAUUGACGCUCAGACACGAAAGCAUGGGGAGCGAACGGGAUUAGAAACCCCGGUAGUCCAUGCCGUAAACGAUGUGAACUAGGCGUUAGGGGCUUACGCCCUUAGUGCCGCAGCCACCGCGCGAAGUUCACCGCCUGGGGGAGUACGACCGCAAGGUUAAAACUCAAAGGAAUUGACGGGGGCCCGCACAAGCAGCGGAGCGUGUGGUUUAAUUCGAGGCUACACGAAGAACCUUACCCGGAUUAGACAUCCUGGUGGUAGUGAACCGAAAGGGGAACGACCCGCAAGGGAGCCAGGACAGGUGCUGCAUGGCUGUCGUCAGCUCGUGUCGUGAGAUGUUCGGUUAAGUCCGGUAACGAGCGCAACCCUCGGCAGUAGUUACAGGUGUCUACUGCAACUGCCCGGUGAAACUGGGAGGAAGGUGGGGAUGACGUCAAGUCAGCAUGGCCUUUAUAUCCGGGGCUACACACACGCUACAAUGGUCGGUACAGUGGGUUGCCAAGGCGCGAGCCGGAGCCAAUCCUGAAAAGCCGAUCUCAGUUCGGAUUGCAGGCUGCAACUCGCCUGCAUGAAGUUGGAGUUGCUAGUAAACGCGCAUCAGCCAUGGCGCGUUGAAUACGUUCCCGGGCCUUGUACACACCGCCCGUCACGUCAUGGGAGCUGGUCACGCCUGAAGCCGGUGGGCCAACCGCAAGGAGGCAGCCGUCAAAGGCAGGGCGGGUGACUGGGACGAAGUCGUAACAAGGUAGCCGU